rnacentral:lncRNA from 1 species
GCAUGCGCGCCGCGGGUAGGACUGGACGGUCGGAUUUGUAGGCAAUUCUGACACCGAGCUCCCGGGCUCGGUUGGUAGAAGAUCGCUUUGGGAAUCCUCCUACUCUACGAGGACCAAAAACCAAGGACGCCAAGCCAUACAAAUUCAGCACAGCUGACUCAGAGAGGUGGAAAGGAAAUCAGGACAAAAAGCCAAAAUGUCUUCUGGAGGAGGAUAUUGCCAGCCAGAAUAACUGUGAGAGAUGCAAGCAUAGUCCUGGAAACAAACAGCACAAUUCCUUUAAAGCCCUAAAGGAUGAAGAUCUUCCUGUAGAGAAGUAUUUAAUGGAAAGGCAGCCUGUAGGUGAGCCAGCUGCCGACCAGGUAGCUAUGGAUGUGAUGCACAGCCCCAUCCUCCAACUGGAAAGGAAACACAAAGUCUCAAGUGACAGCAACCAGACAGAGACUACUGCAGAGAAGUUGCCAGAGGACUCUUUCCUAAAAAACAAGCAAAAACAGGUUUAUAUAGGCCCUCCACCGAAGAAUAAGGUUUUAUCCAACAAUGCAAGCAGCCAAAAGCCGACUCACUCAAGCUGCAUACCAUUGUUGAGGCUGCCUGAUAAGCAGCAGAAAGUUAAUGAGAGCAUUAAGACAGACAUGCUGUGCACAGACAAGGAAGAGGAGUGCCCUGCUGCCUCCCUGCUGCAGAAAUACACCAAUAACAGUGAGAAGCCAUCUGGGAAGAGACAAUGCAAAACCAAGCACUUGAUAUCUCAGGACCUGAGGCAGGGGUUCCUGCUAACAGGGAAGUGCUACGUUGAGAAUGCUGAUGGCAAGAUACCUCUUGGCACUUGUUUUCUCCUUGGGCUUAUAUAGAGGCUAUUUCCCCUCACCCCAACAUUCCCCACCUACCUGCUUUUCUCAAGGAUGUAAAGCCUUUCUUUUACUGGACUCCUAACUUCCC